rnacentral:rRNA from 1 species
UACGUAGGGACCAAGCGUUGUCCGGAAUCAUUGGGCGUAAAGAGCGUGUAGGCGGCUUGUUAAGUCUUGCGUGAAAUCUCGGGGCUCAACCCCGAGCGGUCGUGAGAAACUGGCAGGCUAGGGUGCGGAAGAGGAGAAUGGAAUUCCUGGUGUAGCGGUGAAAUGCGCAGAUAUCAGGAAGAACACCCGUGGCGAAGGCGGUUCUCUGGGACGGUACUGACGCUGAGACGCGAAAGCGUGGGGAGCGAACAGG